AAGAGAGAAUGAACCAUCGGGCCUGGCGUGGAUUCAGCCUCUUAGCCUCCCAGAUGUAUGUGAGGUUCCGGUGAUCUGUCCAAAUGACAAAUGGGUGNGCUCUUUAAAGCGUGUAUGGUCAGAGCGCCAUCUUGGCAGAACCCCCUUCUGAUCCACUUCUGGUGUGAGUUGGCACCGCGUGGAGGAUGCAACAAAACCUCAUCGGAGCCGUAACACGCCGCUGACACAUGCAUGGAAAUCGGGGGUACCUAUAAUUAUUCCCAUCCUGGUGUUGCUGGCCGCAGUGUUCCUGGUACUGGCACCCAUCUUUGAUGACCCUCAGAUUGAGUACCUCUAUGUGACCCUCUUCAUGCUGAGUAGCAUUGUGAUUUACAUCCCUUUCAUUCAUUUGAAACUGUUCCCAGGAUUGUUAAAUAAACUCACAGUCUUCCUUCAACUGUUCCUAGAGGUAGCACCAACUGCCAAAAACCUGUAAUGCCAAGGGAACAGACCUGUCAAAUUCAAUGUAUUUGUAAUUCAGAUGUUAUAGGUUCUCACAAUUCUAAAUUCUUCAGAUCAUACAUCUGUCUAUAUGAAAGUCAAAAUCUAAAUAUAAUUUCUUUUUUAAGAAACAGAUGGUAAGGUAAAAAUCUUUGAUAGUAACUAUUCUUAAAUCAUCUUUUGAUAACACUUUACAGUAAGAUUGUACAUUCUACAAUUCCUGUGAAGAAACAUUUUUUUUUUAAUUUUAACUGGUGCUUUGUGGAUUCUUGCUAGCUUAGCUUCAAGCAAACAUCUUCUGACUGUAACAGUAUUUAGAAGUAAUUUUAGAUCAGCUUCUACAUAUGCAAGAAAUAUAGUGGUUCAUCAUUACUUACGUUGUACUGAUCAUAUAGAAAAAAUUCCAACAGUAUCAUUUAUUAAAUGUCUCUUUAUGAAGUAUCAUUCCUUGUAUUCUAUUAAAAGAGUCAUUUUAAUUGGACAGCAAUACAUUCAGUCAUGUAUUUUAACUUGAUAAAUAUGCUCUCAAUAUGAUGAGGGUUUAUAUAAAAUACAUCUCAAAGACAUUGUGUAGAUCACAGAUUUCACAGUAAAACAUUUUUUAUUUUUUAAUUGUAAAAAAAAAAAAAAAAUAAUAAUAAUAAUCUUUGAAACCUAAAAAGAUUUCUUAUUCUGUGGCUCAUUAUUAUCUGAUAUAGGUUUCAGAAGAGGGUGUGGCAAAAUGGCUCGACAGCGCCACCUAUCGUAAAAAAAUCAACAGCCC
ensembl:lncRNA